rnacentral:rRNA from 1 species
UGGCUCAGGAUGAACGCUAGCGACAGGCUAACACAUGCAAGGUCGAGGGGCAGCAUAGAAGUAGCAAUACUUGGUGGCGACCGGCGCACGGGUGAGUAACGCGUAUGCAACCUACCUAUCAGAGGGGAAUAACCGGCGAAAGUCGGACUAAUACCGCAUAAAACAGGGGCACCGCAUGGUGAUAUUUGUUAAAGAAAUUCGCUGAUAGAUGGGCAUGCGUUCCAUUAGGUAGUUGGUGAGGUAACGGCUCACCAAGCCGACGAUGGAUAGGGGAACUGAGAGGUUGGUCCCCCACACUGGUACUGAGACACGGACCAGACUCCUACGGGAGGCAGCAGUGAGGAAUAUUGGUCAAUGGGCGGGAGCCUGAACCAGCCAAGUCGCGGUGAAGGAAGAAGGAUCUAUGGUUCGUAAACUUCUUUUGCAGGGGAAUAAAGUGCAGGACGUGUCCUGUUUUGUAUGUACCCUGAGAAUAAGGAUCGGCUAACUCCGUGCCAGCCGCGGC